rnacentral:misc_RNA from 1 species
GAUGAAGAACGUAGCGAAAUGCGAUAAGUAAUGUGAAUUGCAGAAUUCAGUGAAUCAUCGAAUCUUUGAACGCACAUUGCGCCCGCCAGUAUUCUGGCGGGCAUGCCUGUUCGAGCGUCAUUACAACCCUCAGGCCCCCGGGCCUGGCGUUGGGGAUCGGCGGAGCCCCCCGUGGGCACACGCCGUCCCCCAAAUACAGUGGCGGUCCCGCCGCAGCUUCCAUCGCGUAGUAGCUAACACCUCGCGACUGAGAGCGGCGCGGCCACGCCGUAAAACACCCAACUCUUCUGAAGUUGACCUCGAAUCAGGUAGGAAUACCCGCUGAACUUAAGCAUAUCAAUAAGCGGAGGA